ACGACCAAAGUAGGAAAGGGAAAAUUAGUUAAAUGAAUUCAACGCUCUCUUCUUAAGUCGUCCCUUUUCUUUUCUUUUUUAUUUUCCAUCUCUACGGCUCCUUUUCUUUCGUAAUUUAUACCAAUUAGCCAUCGCUCUUUCUCUGCUACUCUCUCCUCUGUUUCUCUGCUGAAAUUCCCAGUUCCAGCAGCAGAUUUUUCCCGUUGAACCCAUAAUUCAGCUGGAAUUAUAAGGUUGAGCAUCUGAGGGAUGGGAACUUCUGAAAUAGAUGAGAUGCCGAUGUUAUCACUAUCAUAUCCGCAGUCUAAUGAAAUUGAUGGCUUUCAAAAUCAACGUUUUGCGUACAGGGCAAGGAGUGCAUCCUUAUCAACGCCAAUGAGCUCUAUGGAUUCCUUUUGAAAUGAUAGUAGUUUUGUAGGCUAUACCGGUCCUUUGAGAAGUGAGGGGCGAAAUUCAUUGGUUCAUAUGAGCGGGCCACUAUAUAUUAGUCACAAGCCUGAGAAUAGCUCUCGGUCCACUCCCACUGCAGUAGUGCACAAACCAACUCUGCCAACAACAGAAAAAUAUCCUUCAAUUGGCAGUGGAGAACAAAAUGGUUGGACUAAUAAUGACUACACUGGAAAAAAUGAACAUCUAUUGAAGUCUGGUCAACUGGGUAUGUGCAGUGAUCCUUACUGCACAACAUGCCCAACCGAUAACCAUUUGAAAGCACUAAAAAAAAGUUCAAAGUCUUCAGAUAUGUUUGAUCACCGGGUAUUGCACUUUGCUCAAGUUAAAUUUCCAUAAUAUGCUGUAUGGAGAUACAAAAGGAUGGGCGAAGAGAACUUGUUCUUUCUUGUAUCCAUAUAUUCCUGGUGUCAUGAAUCCUCAUGCGAAGAUUGUCCAGAAGUGGAACAAAUUUUUUGUCAUCUCAUGCCUAUUUGCAUUAUUUAUAGAUCCCCUGUUCUUCUUUUUGCUUAAUGUCCAACAGGGGAACAAAUGCAUAGUGCUAAAUUGGCACAUGACAAAAAUUAUUGUGAUUUUGAGGAGCAUCACUGAUAUCAUUUACUUAAUGCACAUUCUUCUUCAGUUCCGUUAGCUUAUGUUGUUCCUGAAUCUAGGGUGGUGGGAGCAGGUGACCUGGUUGACCACCCUAAAAAGAUUGCUAUAAAUUAUCUUUCUGGAUACUUUGUUGUUGACUUUUUUGUCGUACUACCACUUCCUCAGAUCAUCAUUUUGUUGGUUUUACCCAAGUCUAUUGGAUCAUCUGGGGUAAAUUACACGAAGAAUCUAUUGUGGGCAGCUAUACUACUCCAGUACAAUUCUAGGUUGUACAGGAUUUAUUAUUUGGUUGCUGGCCAGUCUCCAAGUGGUUUUAUAUUUGAGUCAAUAUGGGCAACAUUUGUCAUAAAUCUUCUCAUAAUUGUUGUAUCAAGCAAUAUAGUGGGCUCAUUGUGGUAUCUUUUUGGUUUACAGAGGGUUAAUCUAUGCCUUCAAGGUGCUUGUCGCAGCUCAAACAUAGAAAGGUGUAUGGAGUUCAUAGACUGUGGUCAUGGCACCGAUUACACAAAGUUUCGGUCGGAUAUUACAUGGGACCAGUGGAAGAACAAUACUGAUGCAGUUGCUUG